GUAGUCAUAUGCUUGUCUCAAAGAUUAAGCCAUGCAUGUCUAAGUAUAAGCAAUUUAUACAGUGAAACUGCGAAUGGCUCAUUAAAUCAGUUAUCGUUUAUUUGAUAGUUCCUUUACUACAUGGUAUAACUGUGGUAAUUCUAGAGCUAAUACAUGCUUAAAAUCUCGACCCUUUGGAAGAGAUGUAUCUAUUAGAUAAAAAAUCAAUGUCUUCGGACUCUUUGAUGAUUCAUAAUAACUUUUCGAAUCGCAUGGCCUUGUGCUGGCGAUGGUUCAUUCAAAUUUCUGCCCUAUCAACUUUCGAUGGUAGGAUAGUGGCCUACCAUGGUUUCAACGGGUAACGGGGAAU
rnacentral:rRNA from 1 species